AAAGAUGUAAAGGGGCAAAGCCGGAACAAGCCGCUUUUCGAGGCGUAGGCUGCAUCUGUUUUAAAGAGACAGGAUACGAUUCGAAGCUGUGAGAGCUAUGCUAAGUACCACUUUGGAUUUGGAAGCUAAACUGUUUUCAUACCUCUGCAAUCGACAUUUAAAAGUUUUUCGGUUCGUUUGGAAGGGGAUUAUGUUUUGAUUAAACUAUGUGAAAAAACAACCAUCCGCUACUAACAGUUGUGCUGAAUUUGGCACGAGUGAAGUCCAGAGGAUGAAGCCUGCUUGCUGCUCUCCGCUCCCCUGGCAUUUCCUCAUUCAUAAUAGAGGAGCCUUCCACUGCACACUCACAAACACAAACACAAACACCUAGCAUCGAGGCCCGUGUGUGACCUACUUUACAUACAGCACUGGGUGCUCCAUCCUCUCGGACAGUAACAAAAUUUCCAAGGAAGGGAAGAGGUUCAACUGGCAAUGCAAGGUAUGAUGCCAAAACUACAGAUCAGCCCCCUGGGUAUCUGAGAGCGAGCAGCAGACUGAGCUUUCUCUGAGCUGAAAGAGGGCGAUGUUUCUGGAGCAGAGAGAGGGGCUGAGCGGAGGCAACCCUCUCAGACAUGCCCGUGAAUCCACUCAUACUGUAUUCAUGCUCGCUGAUGCGCAAAGAAGAAGUUAAGUCACACUCAGGGCAUGCCACCCUCCCCCCUUCCCUUUCCCAUAUCUCUCUCUGUCUCUCACACACACAGACCCCAGGCCAUCCACCCAACUUGCACGCAAUGCUCACUGGGGACUCCUGCUGUGCAUCUUUUAGGUCACAUCCAGAAGACUCUCGGAUCAGAACCAUGUUAUAAAGGCUAGACCACUGUGACUUGGUUCCAGUGUGAAUUAUCAUGCCAAGAACAUGUCUGGGUUAGGGUCCUCUUACAGAGCUUCCUCUGGAGUUCCUUCAUUCCCUCUCCAUGAGCAGGCAUGUGGCAGUGAUGCAAACGGCUCCAUUUGGGUGAAGGUCGCACAUCAUUAUGAGCUAACUGGGAAGUUGUGCAUAUUGAGGUUAGCUGCCAGAAGAAGCAUACACAAUUGAGACUGAGGUGCUGUGUAAUACUGCAGGUCAAUAUUCUUCAUCUAUUGUAUUUCUGUUUCUAAUUCUAUUUACAAUUCUAAGGCCAGAAGCUCACUUCCUCACAAGUGUGUAAAAUAAAUUCUAAAGCUGUGGCGGCAACCCAAUUAAAAAAAAAAAACAUUUUUUAAAGAUCACUAUUUUUGUCUUCACAGCCUUCUUUACAAGUAGGCAAAACAUCAGGGAAGGAAAUGUCCUCUUCUUUUUAAACUUGUCACCAUCAGGUUUCCAGGCUUUAUCCAGUGGAAAAACUCUGCCAGUGUGGUACAGAACACUUACCCGGACAACCAAUGCAACUUGAAAGAAAAUUGCUAAGUGAAAGAUUCCUUAACAUAGCAAAUGGGCGCAGUCUGGGAUAUACACCAGCAAGCUGGCAUCAACACAGAAACCGUUUCCCCUGCACACUUAGCAACAGGACCCAGCUACCACAAGAAUGGAAGGGGGGGGGGGGGUAACAGUGCUGGAGCAGUACUGUCUGACCUAAACUAGACAAAGCUACUGUGUUUAGGAAAAUACUGCAACUCAACAUCCUAACACAGAACAACAGUUACUGCAAUCUGUCUUCUCAGAACAGCAAAAGUGUAAGCUUUCAACGCCAUUUGUAGUACCCAGAGAGAAUUUGUAAAAAAAAAUUUGACAGUUUGUUGUUCCUAGUUAUUCUUACACACACGGAACUAGGAGGUGGUUACAUGCCCCCAACACACUGCAAGUGGGAUACAUGCUAAACAUUUACACAGUUCUACAAACUUUGGGGAAACAAUUGUCUCGAGUACUGUUCAAUUUCCUCUUGUGUUUACAUAAACAUUUACAUCAAUGUUGGUUGAUAUGAAUGGUGAAAAAUCCAUGAUGAACCCAUAAGGUAACAUUCAUGGGUUCAAUUACUUGAAUUUAAUCAUCAAUUUAAUCUUUAAACUAAGAGAGCUUGGUCAACCAUAUCAAAAGCUUUCAAGAGAUCAAUGAAUAAAGUGGUACAAUGUUGUUUGUGGUCUAAGGCUGGAUGAUGAGAUUCACUACCAAUGUGGCUGUGGCAAUAUUUCUAUGACCAGAUCUGAAGCCUGAUUGUACUUCACUUAAAGUAAUAUUAUCAUGUAUAAACCCUUUUUUCUGAGCACAGGCCUGAGAUUUGUUUACAAAUCAAAAUUUUUAUAUAAAUUGCUACUAUUUCUAGUAUCGAGUCAGUUGAGACAUAAACCUAGCACAUUCAUAGAGAUCAUACACCACCAUGUGGUCAUAUGGAAAUACUGCAGUCUAUUACAAUACCAGAGCAUACAGCAUGGAAAACAAUAGAAACAUGUUAUGAGGAUGGAACUGAAACCUGAAGAAAAGGAACUUCAACUUCAAGCUAAAUUAAUGUCAUGUCACAAGAGACAUAUUACAGUGGACAGCCUGGGUCAGAUUAGUUGCUCAAGGUAGCAUGUUAUGAUUCCAUUCAAAUGUAAGAUGGUUCUCAACUACACUGCCAGGAACACCCGGAUCAGUCUAAAUAAAUAUUAGCCUUGCCUGUUCAAAUCCAUUUUGACAAACAACAUGCAACACUAACUUAUCACAUCAAAUAAAUGUAACAUAUUGCAUUACACUUCUGUCAUGUGACAAGGUAACCAACCAACCAAUACAUCACUUUUAUUUGAAUCAUUGACUGAAAAUGAAUUGCAGGUUUGGAACUGAGACAAAUCAUUUAAACUAGUGUGGUAGGACAGAACUGAAUUAAAAAUAAUUUAUAGUAAAUACAGUACAUUCAACUGUACUGUUGGGACCUGUUUCAGUUUCUGUUUCUUCUCAGCUUUCCUCAGCAGGUCAUUGCGUGGUUGUAAGAUGAGUAUCUGAUCUUCUCAAUGCAUCUUCUUCAUCCCUGAACCUUCCUAUACAAAAACCUAAAUACUCAUACUGUAGCAACCCUUGUAGCAAAUCAGGGGAUGAUUAAAUGGCAGGUUAAGAGAGUCAGGUUGGGGAUUUAGCCAGGACACCAGGGAACCCCGUACUCUUUUCAACAAGUGUCAGGGGACCUUUAAAGGACCACAGUGAGUCAACACCUCCGUUUAAUACAUU